ACGCUGAGGUCCCAUGAGCUGAGAUGGGUAAUGAACAUCGCC
rnacentral:sRNA from 1 species